rnacentral:lncRNA from 1 species
UUUUCUGACAUUUGAAAAGAUCUGAAGAUACGCCCCUUGGAUGCCUGCAGAGAAGCUCUGGGGCUUCAGUCAAUGACUCAGGGUAGCCACCGAACAUGAUGCUCGGGCAGUGGGUGCCACCUGGACUCCACUCUCCCCUCUCUCUGGGAUCAUAGAGUCCAAGGUGUUCUGUGGCCUCUCGGCCAAUCCCAGCAGCUCAGCGUGCAGAAGACCGAGGAGCCAUUGGUCAGUGUAGGAGGUGCCUGGAGUUUUGGAGAUGGGAUCCACAGGAAUUCAACACAACACGAAAUAAUCAACAAAUUCGGGGAAUGUUAAUCUGACCAUCACCAGUUACAAAUGAUGUUUCAUGCUACCUUCUAUUCCUGCCUUCAUAAAUCAAGGAAAAGAAAAAGAGAACAUAUAUCCCCCUACCUUUUGAUUUCCAACAGUCUACUGAGAGGCCAAGAUUAUUUGCAGGGAAAGAAAAGGGGAAUGCCAUCCCCACCCUCUCGCAGCUACGUGCCAGUUCCAGAGCACCUGUUCCCCUCUACUUUGAAAAGGUCAAAAUGUUUUGCCAGUAACUCCCAAAUCAUCUACAGCCAAGGAGAAAAGUGUUUCAAGACAGAGGUGCUCAAUGGUAUCAAAUACUGCCAACAGACCAAGUAAUACAUGCAUUGAAGUGUCUACUGGAUCUAGCUAUAUGAAUUUUUAAUUUAGGACACUUAGGCCAUACUGAAGCAAGGUGACAAAAUGAAUAGCUACAAUGUCUCGUGAAUCUUGGGUUUCCAUUCACCCUGGUAUUCAAGAGAAAUUCUUGCAUCAUGGAAGUUGCAGUUGGAUAGGACUUUCUCAGCUGAACACUGUCAUCUGCCAGAGCUUCAGGCAAGAACCCAGAACAGAUGAAACCCCAGACAUGACAAAAUAAGCCAAAGAAUACCAGGCCAAGGUGUGAAAGGCCAGAUGAGAACAAGCAGCGUACACGAUUCUGUUGCCAACAGAUCUCCCCUAACAGUGUCGUGCACCAAAUUUCCACAGUGAAUGUCAGGAAAAAAUGGCAAUUGAGGUGGGUGGUCAAAAGAGAAGCACAGUCUAUGAUGAAGUCACCCCAGAGAAGUCCUUUUUCCGUUUUCUCCUGAGAAAUUACCAGAAGAAAUUAAAAUCCUUUUGAGU